rfam:Gnathophausia zoea small subunit ribosomal RNA gene, complete sequence.
CCUGGUUGAUCCUGCCAGUAGUUAUAUGCUCGUCUCAAAGCCUAAGCCAUGCAUGUCUAAGUUCAGACAAUAAAUAGUGAAACCGCAAAAGGCUCAUUAAAUCAGUUUUUGUUUAUUUGUUAAUGAUUGAUAAUUGGAUAUCUGUGGCAAUUCUAGAGCUAAUACAUGCAAAUAUACUCUGACCGAAAGGAAUAUGAGUGCUUUUAUUAGUACCAAACCAAUGUGGUUGGCCACUUGGAAUGGUGACUCUGGAUAAUAUUGCCUAGUGAAAGUGCCUAUAGUGCUGGCACAUAAUCUUUCAAGUGUCUGCCUUAUCAGCUGCAUUGUUGGGUACCUGCCUACAAUGGCUGUAACGGGUAACGGGGAAUCAGGGUUCGAUUCCGGAGAGGGAGCCUGAGAAACGGCUACCACAUCUAAGGAUGGCAGCAGGCGCGCAAAUUACCCAAUCCCAGCACGGGGAGGUAGUGACGAAAAAUAACGGUGCAAGGAUCUAUCAAGGCCUUGUAAUUGGAAUGAAUAGAGUUUAAAAAAUUGUACUGAGUACCAAUUGGAGGGCAAGUCUGGUGCCAGCAGCCGCGGUAAUUCCAGCUCCAAUGGCAUAUAUUAAAGUUGUUGUGGUUAAAAAGCUCGUAGUUGGAAUCUUGCCUGAGGAGUUAGUGGAAGCCGAAUGGUUUUCUUCUAUAGAGUUCAGGCUUUUGCCUUGAGAACAAAUAGUGCUCUUGACUGGGUGUUUUUUGAAUUGUCAAGCACUAUUACCUUGACUAAAUUCGAGUGCUUAAAGCAGGCGUUUGCCUGAAGAGAUGUUCAUGGGAUGAUGGAACAUGAUCUCUGUUCUGUUUGUUGGUUUGAGAUAAAAGAGAUAAUGAUAAAUGGAAGCAAGCGGGGGCAUUUGUACUGCUACGCUAGAGGUGAAAUUCUUGGACCGUAGCAUGACAAACUAAAGCGAAAGCAUCUGCCAAGGAUGUUUCCGUUAAUCAAGAACGAAAGUUAGAGGAUCGAAGGCGAUCAGAUACCGCCCUAGUUCUAACUGUAAACUAUGCUGACCAGCUAUCUGCCGGCGUUAUUCCCAUGACUCGGCAGGCCGCUUCCGGGAAACCAGAGUUUCUGAGUUCCAGGGGAAGUAUGGUUGCAAAUCUGAAACUUAAAGGAAUUGACGGAAGGGCACCACAAGGAGUGGAGCCUGUGGCUUAAUUUGACUCAACACGGGAAACUUUACCAGGCCCAGACAGUAGAAUGAUUGACAGAUUGAAAGCUCUUUCUCAAUUUAUUGGUUGGUGGUGCAUGGCCGUUCUUAGUUGGUGGAGUGAUUUGUCUGGUUUAUUCCGAUAACGAACGAGACUCUGGCCUACUAAAUAGGGAGCAGGUUGUUGGGCGCCUGCGGUGUCUUCUUAGAGGGAUAAGCUGCUACCAGCAGCAAGAGAUUGAGCGAUAACAGGUCUGGUAUGCCCUUAGAUGCUCUGGGCCGCACGCGCGCUACAAUGGUAGCGUCAGCGUGCUGAGCAUCUCUGAGAGGAGGUGUCAAUCAUUGAAAUGGUACCGUGGUUGGGAUUGGGGCUUGCAAUUGUUUCCCAUGAACUAGGAAUUCCUAGUAGGCGCAGGUCCUUAGCCUGCAUCGAUUAAGUCCCUGCCCUUUGUACACACCGCCCGUCGCUACUACCGAUUGAGUGCACCAGUGAGGGCUUUGGACUGGCAUCCUUGGUGGGUUCUCCCCGCCUUGGCUUGAUGGGAAGAUGUCCGAGCUGGUGUACUUAGAGGAAGUAAAAGUCGUAACAAGGUUUCCGUAGGUGAACCUGCGGAAGGAUCAUUA